GUCGCCAUAGCUCAGUUGUAUAGAGCACUUCUUUCCUAAAGAAGGGGUCGUAGGUUAGAGUCCUACUGGUGACGCCA
rnacentral:tRNA from 1 species